rnacentral:rRNA from 1 species
AUUGAACGCUGGCGGCAGGCCUAACACAUGCAAGUAGAACGAGUGGCGGACGGUUGAGUAAUGUCUGGGAAACUGCCCGAUGGAGUGGGAUAACUACUGGAAACGGUAGCUAAUACCGCAUACCAUCGGAUGUGCCCAGAUGGGAUUAGCUUGUAGGUUAUGUAACGGCUCACCUAGGCGACGCUCCCUAGCUGGUCUGAGAGGAUGACCAGGCAGACUGGAAGUGGGAGACGGUCCAGAGUCCUACGGGAGGCAGCAGUGGGGAAUAGUGCACUAUGGGAGCAAGCCUGAUGCAGCCAUGCCGCGUGUAUGAAGAGGGCCUUCGGGUUGUAAAGUACUUUCAGCGGGGAGGCGUUACCCGCAGAAGAAGCACCGGCUAACUCCGUGCCAGCAGCCGCGGUAAUUC